ensembl:lncRNA
UAAGGUCAGAGGUCAGUAUAUACUGUAGAUAAAGGGUUAGGGGUUAAGGUCAGUAUAUACUGUAGAUAAAGGGUUAGGGGUUUAGGUCAGUAUAUACUGUAGAUAAAGGGUUAGGGGUUUAGGUCAGUAUAUACUGUAGAUAAAGGGUUAGGGGUUUAGGUCAGUAUAUACUGUAGAUAAAGGGUUAGGGGUUAAGGUCAGAGGUCAGUAUAUACUGUAGAUAAAGGGUUAGGGGUUAAGGUCAGAGGUCAGUAUAUACUGUAGAUAAAGGGUUAGGGGUUUAGGUCAGUAUAAACUGUAGAUAAAGGGUUAGGGGUUUAGGUCAGUAUAUACUGUAGAUAAAGGGUUAGGGGAUAAGGUCAGAGGUCAGUAUAUACUGUAGAUAAAGGGUUAAGGGUUAAGGUCAGAGGUCAGUAUAUACUGUAGAUAAAGGGUCAGGAGUUUAGGUCAGCAUAAACUGUAGAUAAAGGGUUAGGGGUUAAGGUCAGAGGUCAGUAUAUACUGUAGAUAACGGGUUAGGGGUUUAGGUCAGUAUUUACUGUAGAUAAAGGGUUAGGGGUUAAGGUCAGAGGUCAGUAUAUACUGUAGAUAAAGGGUUAGGGGUUUAGGUCAGAGGUCAGUAUAUACUGUAGAUAAAGAGUUAGGGGUUUAGGUCAGAGGUCAGUAUAUACUGUAGAUAAAGGGUUAGGGGUUUAGGUCA